rnacentral:rRNA from 1 species
GUGGGGAAUAUUCCGCAAUGGACGAAAGUCUGACGGAGCAACGCCGCGUGAGUGAUGAAGGUUUUCGGACUGUAAAGCUCUGUUGUUUAGGACGAAAGUGCCUGUUGCAAAUAGUUACAGGUAUUGACGGUACUGAACGAGGAAGCCACGGCUAACUACGUGCCAGCAGCCGCGGUAAUACGUAGGUGGCAAGCGUUGUCCGGAAUUAUUGGGCGUAAAGAGCAUGUAGGCGGGAAUCUAAGUCUGUUGUGAAAAUGCGGGGCUCAACCCCGUAUUGCGAUGGAAACUGGGUUUCUUGAGUGCAGGAGAGGAAAGGGGAAUUCCCAGUGUAGCGGUGAAAUGCGUAGAUAUGGGGAGGAACACCAGUGGCGAAGGCGGCUUUCUGGACGGUGUCUGACACUGAGGCGCGAAAGCCAGGGGAGCGAACGGGAUUAGAAACCCCGGUAGUCC